rnacentral:rRNA from 1 species
UACGGGGGGGGCAAGCGUUGUUCGGAAUUACUGGGCGUAAAGGGCUCGUAGGUGGCCAACUAAGUCAUACGUGAAAUCCCUCGGCUUAACCGGGGAACUGCGUCUGAUACUGGAUGGCUUGAGUUUGGGAGGGGGAUGCGGAAUUCCAGGUGUAGCGGUGAAAUGCGUAGAUAUCUGGAGGAACACCGGUGGCGAAGGCGGCUUCCUGGGCCAGCACUGACGCUGAGGAGCGAAAGCCUGGGGAGCGAACAGG